AAAAUCCAAUAUUGGAGUUUAUCACCAUCCACCGGCAUGAACGAGCGGGUCUAAACGCGUCGAAGGACGGUAUUGCGCGAGGAGAUGCAAUACCCGGCUUUCACCAAAUCUCCAGAAGUCGAAUUUCAAUCCUGACGGAAUUUUUUUCGAAUGAUAACAUAUAAUCCACUGACAAUUGAAGCUAUCCUUGGAAUGCCGAUGAUCCUUCAGCUAAAAAAAAUUAUUUCCAUCGAACUCCAACAACGCGUGCGAAAUUCAUUCAAUUCAAUUCAACUGUCUGCACUUGAUAAUCGUUAUCUACUUAUUUACAUCCGUUUUGAAUGAGAAUUGAGAACCUAACGAGAUCCAUUGGCUCCCGGGUGACUAUUGCGGACUAUUUCUACUCUAAGAUGUUUCGUUUUCUGAGAACAAUCGUUGAAUGACGAAUACAAAUGUUGUGGCUGUACGUGCAAGCUAGUCGGGCAGUGGCAAUAAGCUCUCAGUAUAUAUAAUCGCAUUGUACAUGGAGAGAGACGACAGGAGCGCAGCGUGACACUGUCGAUUGGUGUAGGUCAAGAACGACUCUGCACUCGUGAUAUGGGACUGGGGUAACGCCACCAGUAGCCGGGCGCUCCCAGAAAUUUACAACUUUCCCGGGGGAAUAAAAGUAUGGGAAUGUGAAUGAGGAAACUGAGUGGAGAGCAGAAGGCAAGUUGGACAAGGUGGAGAUGCGGGAGUGCACUGAUAGGGACAAGGACCAGUGCAGGGCCUCUGGAGAGAAAAAAAAAUACUGGGGCAUACCGUGGGGUACGAGGUACUGAGGAAAAGGCUAAAGGUUAAGAGCUCGUGGAAAAUAUGGCGCCGGGACUGUAGCAGAAGGUAUUAGAGGGAGAGGAUGGUGGAGCUGCUGAGGACACCAGGCAGGACAGCGCGUGGCAGACUGGGAAGAGUG